rnacentral:rRNA from 1 species
UACAGAGGGUGCGAGCGUUGUUCGGAAUUAUUGGGCGUAAAGGGCGCGUAGGCGGUGCGGUAAGUCACCUGUGAAACCUCUGGGCUUAACUCAGAGCCUGCAGGCGAAACUACCGUGCUGGAGUGUGGGAGAGGUGCGUGGAAUUCCCGGUGUAGCGGUGAAAUGUGUAGAGAUCGGGAGGAACACCGGUGGCGAAGGCGGGUCUCUGGGCAUCUCCUGACGCUGAGGCGCGAAAGCGUGGGGAGCAAACGGG